UACGUAGGGGGCGAGCGUUGUCCGAAGUUACUGGGCGUAAAGCGCGCGUAGGCGGUUUCUUAAGUGAGGUGUGAAAUCCCGUGGCUCAACCACGGAACUGCACCUCAAACUGGGUGACUUGAGGACGGAAGAGGCUAGUGGAAUUCCUGGUGUAGCGGUGAAAUGCGUAGAUAUCAGGAGGAACACCCGUGGCGAAGGCGGCUAGCUGGUCCGUUUCUGACGCUGAGGUGCGAAAGCCAGGGGAG
rnacentral:rRNA from 1 species